GGAGCUGAUUUUGGCCGCGGUCUUUUAAUCUCUGGCUCUUCAACUCUUUGAAAUCCAAUGUCAUCUUCACAGGACUUCCUCGAGGAGAGAACAAUUCCCAAGGAGCAACUCCACAUGGUGGCAGAAGUACUCAACUGCAAGUGAAGGGACCUGCAUUCUACUUCUGCCUCUAGAAUCUGUAUCUAUGGCUGAGUCGUGGGAACUAUGGGCCAUCAAUUGACGAAAUCUGGCC